AGAGGGAUGUUAGCCUUCCAUGGGGAGGCUUCACAGGCUGAGUUCCUCAGAGGCCAGUGGACAUCAAGGUCGUUUUCAAUCUGCUCUAUUAUGAACAAAGCAGCAAUGAACAUGGUUGAGCAAGUGUCUCUGUGGACUCUGGAGCAAACAAGAAAAGCAGAGGGAAGUCCAGCCAGGUGAAUGCCCCAGCUGGGGACAUUCCUGGACCCUAGGUAAGACCAGAGCAAGGUCCAGGAACUGCGACACCUCAUUCGGAGCAGAAGAGAGGAGAAUAGAUCCCGACAUGCAUCUGCUUAGUGCAGAACUGCCAACGUCCAUGUCUCUCAGUGAAGGUGGUGGUUUCAUCACCAGCAGCAGCAGCUAGUCUUUGCUCCUCCAAAUGGCUCAUGCCAGCCCUGCCUCUGUCCACACAUACCGUAUCUUAGCUCAAUGUAUUCUGUGUUAGUGCUGUUUUCCUAUGCUUUUGUUUGCCUGUAGACUCUACUCUUUGUACUUGUACUAUUCAUCUUCCUUGACCUCCUUUUCUCCUUUGAACCCCACUUUCCUAAGAUCUGUGCUAUCAACACAGACCUUCAGAAGUAGAGAGGAUGGAAAUAGAACACGUACUUUGAUAAACAGAAGCAAUUAGACUUCCUUGGACGAUGCCACAUUCCUUUAAUGCACAUUCGGCUUAAUGCACAAUGGGAAAAUCAGAGCCUAUUGAGCAAUGGUGUUGCCUCUGGUUUAUUGCAGUUCAUUAAUAAACAUUGCAGCUGGA
rnacentral:lncRNA from 1 species